rnacentral:lncRNA from 1 species
CGGGGGACCCCAAAAUCCACCGGGAACUCCAAAAAUAACCCGCAGGAGGGCCCUGCAGCCUGAACCCCGAAAAGGGACCCCAAACCCGUGGGGAGCCCCCCAAAACCCCACAGGAGGGCCCUGCAGUCUGAACCCCAAAAACAGCAGCUGGGGGACCCUAAAACCCACGGGGAACCCCAAAAAUCCCCGGGAGCAGCCGUGGGGAACUCCAAAAUCCACAGGGAACCCCAAAAUUCACAGAGAGCCCCAAAAUCCACAGGGAGCCCCAAAACCCGCAGGGAGCCCCAGAAAUCACAGGGGAACCCCCCAAAACCCACGGGGAACCCCCCAAAAUCCCCGGGGAGCUCCAAAAUCCACGGGGAACCCCAGAAAUCACAGGGGGACCCCCCAAAACCCACGGGGAACCCCAAAAUCCCGAGGAUGGGGCGAGGCCCGGCUGCUUUUGGGUGAAAUAAAAAAGGUUUUUGUUCUUCCCUGCUGGCACCGUUUGGGUUUUUGGGGGGAUUUGGGGUCACAUUUUUGCCCUGGUUGGGUUUUGGGGUGUCCCAGGAGCUUGGGGUGGGCUCGGUUUGGUCCUGGGGGUUUUUUUUGGGGGAAUCCCCAAAGUUUUUUCUAUUUUUCCCCACCCAAUUCUCAUUUUUUUUUACCCAUAUCCUCAUUUUUUUCCCUUGCUCCCAAUUCCCAGUUUUACCACAUUUUUUACCCAAUUCCCAUUUUUUUUCUCAUUUUUUACCUCUCAAUUCCCAUUUUUCCUCUUUUUUAUUUCCCAUUUUCCCCAUUUUUUACCCAGUUCCCAUUUUCCAUUUUUACCCCGCAAUUCCCAUUUCCCAUUUUUUACCCCCUAAUUCCCAUUUCUACCUUAUUUUUACCCCCUUCCCUUUUUUCUCAUUUCCCCCCCCAUUCCCCAUUUCCCCAUUUUUCCCCCCAAUUCCCAUUUUCCCCCAUUUUUUACCCCCAAUUUUCCAUUUUUCCCCAUUCUUAUCCAAUUCAAUUUUCCCUCAUUUUUACCCUCCCAAUUCCCAUUUUUUUCCUCAUUUUUACCCCAAAUUCCCAUUUUCCCAUUUUUUCCCCCUAAAUUCCCAUUUUUUUCCUAUUUCCCCCAUUUUUUCCCCCUAAAUUCCCAUUUUUUCCCCAUUUUCCCCAAUUUUUACCCUGCCCAGGGCACCGUUCCAUCAAGUCAGGCACGGCUCAGGGGGGUCCCCAAAUCUUGGUUGCUUUUUUGGGGGGGGUCCCCAAACUUCACCCCCUCCCCAGCUGUUUUUGGGGGUCCCCAGGAUUUUCCCACCCCCCAAAAAACCACGAGGUGGCACAAAAAGGGGUGAAAUGAGUAAAAACGAGAUUUUCGUGUUUUCCC